ensembl:lncRNA
CACCUCAAAACCUGAUGCUAGACAUUUCCCAAUCCCAACCACCUCAAAACCUGAUGCAAGAUGUUUCCCAAUCUCAACCAAUCACUUCUUAGCAUUUCUUCUAUCUAGUGUCUUGCCAUCACAGUCACAUUUUUAAAGGAGGCUUCAUAAAAUAGGGAAUUACAUUCUGUAGAUCAGAAGCCAGAGCCCUGCUCUGAAGAAAUGAGCCCUGCUCUGAAGAAAUGAGCCCUGCUCCGAGGAAGCCCCCACAUUCUCCUCUUUCAAAGCAGCUGCUGUAGUGGCUAAUUAGGCUACAGAGACUACACUUCAGACAGCAUGUCAACCAUGAAACCACGCAGGGCCUGCAGACAAAAUGGCACCCUAUCCCCUUUACAGUGCACCACUUUUGACUGGGGCCCAUAGGGCUAUGUACAAAAGUAUUGCACUAUAUAAGGAAUAGGGUGACAUUUUGGGAAUCACACGGUAUGUCAGCCAAUUGAUUGAUAGAAAAAAAAACAAAAAAAACAAUGCCAUUUAAAAAAACACAUAUAAUCACAGUAUGUAUAGUACUUAACAAAACAAACAUGACAGGAAUAACACAGGAAAGUCAGAGAUUUAUUUCCAAUGUGUUCACUACAGUGCAUGGAGAAAAACAAAACAAACAUGACAGGAAUAACACAGGAAAGUCAGAGAUUUAUUUCCAAUGUGUUCACUAUAGUGCAUGGAGAAAAACAAAACUAACAUGACAGGAAUAACACAGGAAAGUCAGAGAUUUAUUUCCAAUGUGUUCACUACAGUGCAUGGAGAAAAACAAAACAACACAUUUAAGAUGUCAAAUUAAGAUGAGGGAGAUUGGAUUUCUCUCAAGUUGGAUUCAGAUGAUGAAAAGGCUGGGAGUCGAGGCAAUUUUGAUUGGAAAUCAAGUGUAGCUUCUGCGGCAGGGUGGCAUCGAUGGUACAGCCAGAGGGAAACAAAGACAGUCUGACAAACAGGCCCAGAGCGCUUCAUCAGUGCACAACAUCUGCUUCUUCGGCAGGUCAGCUCCUCUGUAGGUUCCGCUCCUCCGUAGGUACCACUCCUCCGUAGGUACCACUCCUCCGUAGGUACCACUCCUCCGUAGGUACCACUCCUCCGUAGGUACCACUCCUCUGUAGGUACCACUCCUCCGUAGGUACCACUCCUCCGUAGGUACCACUCCUCCGUAGGUACCACUCGUACCACUCCUCUGUAGGUACCUCUCCUCUGUAGGUCCCGCUCCUCUGUAGGUACCACUCCUCCGUAGGUACCACUCCUCCGUAGGUACCUCUCCUCUCUAGGUACCUCUCCUCUGUAGGUACCACUCCUCUGUAGGUACCACUCCUCCGUAGGUACCACUCCUCUGUAGGUACCACUCCUCUGUAGGUCCUGCUCUUCUGUAGGUACCACUCCUCCGUAGGUCCAGCACCUCCGUAGGUCCCGCACCUCCGUAGGUCCCGCUCCUCUGUAGGUCCCGCUCCUCUGUAGGUACCACUCCUCUGUAGGUACCACUCCUCUGUAGGUACCACUCCUCUGUAGGUCCCUCUCCUCUGUAGGUACCUCUCCUCUGUAGAUACCACUCCUCUGUAGGUACCUCUCCUCUGUAGAUACCACUCCUCUGUAGGUACCACUCCUCCGUAGGUACCACUCCUC